UACGUAGGGUGCGAGCGUUGUCCGGAAUUAUUGGGCGUAAAGAGCUCGUAGGCGGUCUGUCGCGUCUGCUGUGAAAUCCCGAGGCUCAACCUCGGGCUUGCAGUGGGUACGGGCAGACUAGAGUGUGGUAGGGGAGACUGGAAUUCCUGGUGUAGCGGUGAAAUGCGCAGAUAUCAGGAGGAACACCGAUGGCGAAGGCAGGUCUCUGGGCCACUACUGACGCUGAGAAGCGAAAAGCAUGGGGAGCGAACAGG
rnacentral:rRNA from 1 species